UACCGUAGAAGCCUUAGUUUGUACCCAAGAUUGGCUUCAUGAACAAUAUGAUGAAGUUGCAAAUUGCUCGAGUUCUGUAACGUUGAAUGUAGAUGACGACAGUUCUUUUUUCGAGGGGUUAUGAUUGCUUCUUUUCGAGGGGGUACCUUUUCCUUUCAAGUAUUAUCGUUUGUCGUAUAUUGUGAAUUGAAUAAUUGGUUCGAUUCUGAGAAGCAAGAUGUGAUCAGAGCGAUAUUUUUUUUUAACCUCCUGUUUUUGAUGGAAUCCUUUUGUUUGGUUGCAGUUGUAUCGUUGAAGUGUCAAAUUGCACUGAUCCUUUUA